CUGCACACAAAUGCAACAAGUCUAGCUUAAGGCUUUGGGAAGUUGGUGGAAAUCCAACACUGCCCCCGCAACGGUAAAAUGAAAAUAUUAUUCUUUAAUAAGUCAAAAGACUUACACCACUGCAAUGUUUUGUGGGAAGGUGGAAUAAUCUGAAUCGCUUUAGGUUCUAUAUUUAAGUCCGGAUACCAGCUUGUUGUGCCCUUAAACU
rnacentral:ncRNA from 2 species